UAUGAAAUUUUGAAACACCAUUUUUUUGUUUAAAAACUGCAUUUUGACAUAGAAACUGACAUUUUCGUUUUUUACACGAAACGGCGUUUCUGGAACAGAAACGAUACCAGACGGGCUCCUAGUGUUCCAAUGCUUUAUUUUACUACUUGGCCUAUUCCAAUUGGGCCCAAAACAUGACAUUUGAGCCAGGGUGGGGGUUUCUACCUGUCCACAAAAUUUGGGCCCAUCCAACAUGCCAUGUGGCAUAAAUUUUGGGAUGAUGAGACAAGCGCCUCUUGGUGGGCUGACCAGAUAAACUUUGCCUAGAAAAUUAUAUACUUGUGUGUUGAUUUUUUAAUAAUAAGCAUUUCUGGUUCUUCACGUAUGAAAUAGAUUACAGAUGCACGAUGUUCAAGAUGUACGGAGAAGAAAGUGGGUCUAACAGACAUCAUCCAAGGAGGAGCACGCGGUGACCGCUAUCAGUUGCAAUGUACUGCAUGCGGAAACACAUGGUUUGCUUUUCGAGAUGAAGUCUCUACACUGACAAUAGAAGCGAGCAAGUGAUUUUGGGAAUGUGGGCACUGCAAGAUGUUGAGUAAAAUCUGGUUUGGUUAGUCCCCUUAAGUCAUUUUUUUAAGAAGAAAACCGGCUUACAUGCCUGUCUUGGAAACGCGGAAAUCAUUUGGAAGGCCAAAAACUGAAAAUCAUAUACCUUCUACAAUACCUUCAACUAACAAUGCAGAGUAGAAAGAGUUCUGGUGUUUUGUAGUCUGUGCAGUUGGUUGGUUUCAUAGUUUGAAGGUAGCGUUCUUGGUUGUACAGCUUAUCCUCCUCUUGUUGCAUGUUUUUUCUGUGGAGUUCGGGAGCUCAAUGUUUAAGAGUAUGCUUGUCAGUGUAUAGCUAGCCAAUUACAUCACAGUUUAGAUUGAUCUCUCUCCCAGAUGUAUGUGAAUUCAGCUUUA